rnacentral:pre_miRNA from 1 species
AAUAAGAUCAUUUUUCAGUUUUUUUGAUACUUUGACUCUUCGUCUUAUUUGAAAUUUUUUCGCGAUUAAUAUUUUUAUUCUUACUGGCCGAUAAAACAUGAAUAGUUUUAUGCGUGACUAAUUUUUUUAAUUUUUUAUAUAAUUUUUUUAAAUAAGACGAAUGAUCAAACGUUGGACAUGAAAAACGAAAAAUAAGGUUAUU